CCCAGUGUGACUCGUCACACUAUCAUUAACUGAAUCCAUAGGUUAAUGAGGCGAACCGGGGGAACUGAAACAUCUAAGUACCCCGAGGAAAAGAAAUCAACCGAGAUUCCCCCAGUAGCGGCGAGCGAACGGGGAGGAGCCCAGAGCCUGAAUCAGCAUGUGUGUUAGUGGAAGCGUCUGGAAAGGCGCGCGAUACAGGGUGACAGCCCCGUACACAAAAGCGCAUGUGCUGUGAGCUCGAUGAGUAGGGCGGGACACGUGGUAUCCUGUCUGAAUAUGGGGGGACCAUCCUCCAAGGCUAAAUACUCCUGACUGACCGAUAGUGAACCAGUACCGUGAGGGAAAGGCGAAAAGAACCCCGGCGAGGGGAGUGAAAAAGAACCUGAAACCGUGUACGUACAAGCAGUGGGAGCACAGGUUUACCUGUGUGAC
rnacentral:rRNA from 1 species